GGUGAGUGCGUGGAGUGCCUGGUCCCUGAGCCCCUGGGGCCGUGGUUCUCCUUGUCUGUGUCUGGCAUGAGAGCAGAUGGGGUCUUUGCCUUGAAAUGAAUCCCUCCCCAAGUCAAGCACCAGCCACGGGCUCUUUCCCCAGCCACAGGAACUGACCCCCACCUCUCCCUGGGGGGCUACGAGGCCGGAGGCGUCCGGGUGCUGUGUCGAUCGGCCGGCUGGUACCCGCUGCCGCAGCUGCUGUGGAGGGAUGCUCGCGGGCAGCACCUGCCCUCGGUCUCCCAGACACAUUCCCAGGACCAGGAGGGGCUCUUUGAAAUCGAAGGUGCCGUCAUCAUGACCGGGAGUGUGGAGGGGCCCUUGUCCUGCGUGGUCAGGAGCAGCCGCCUGCAGCAGGAAUGGGAAUUUUCCCUGCACAUUGCAGCUCCCUUCUUCCACAAUGCCCAGCCCUGGAUGGUGGCUCUGGCUCUGGUCCUGGUGCUUUUGGCUGUGUCCAUUGGCCUCGGUGUUUAUCUAUUUCGAAAGCAAGCGGCACAGAGCCGAGAGCUGGGUGAAUCCUUGCAGUCCCUGCCCCCAACCCUGGGGAAGUGGUGUCUGUGUGGGAGGGCCUAGGCUGGGUGGGCUCAGGGGGCUUGUGUGCUGGUGGCUCGGGGGUGCUGGAGGAGCAGCUGGAGCCUGGGGUGGGAGUGGGGAGUGCUGGGGCUGGGGCUGCCCUGGGCACGGGACACAGCCGGGAUGGCUGAAAGGAGCAGGGAUCAAGGUGGGGACGGGGAGCGAGCUGUGGGGCUGCCCCACUCUGCACUGAUGCUUCUGGGACAGGGACGUCCUCCACCCAUCCCCAUUCACUUCCCCUUGUGUUUUGGUGGCUAGGUGCAGAGAGCUGCAUAAGUGUCUGUUCUUCAAGCUAGAAGUCUUGCAAAAUGCUAGCCCUAGGUCUUUGUUAGUGGGGUCGCUACAAGUCUGGGAGCAAGGUCGUCUGUGCCCAUGCAUGAGAGCAAAAAAUUUGGGGUCUAGCCAUCUAGCCAUGGAAGCAGCAAUGUGGUGAAAGUCUCUCCACUCUGACCAUUCAUUCCUUUUGCUUUUUAUAGCAGCAAAAAAGGAUGCAAAGCUGGGUAAGUCUCCUUCCCCAAAGAGAAGGCAUUUGGUGUCUUACCAUGGGCAUACUCCCAUCUGACAGUACAUUGCUUUUCUUUUUCUUUUCCAGUGGAACAGGCUGCAGAGAUAGGUGAGUGUCCAUCCCUGAACUGGAAGAAUUUGCAGUGUAGACAAUGGAUGAGAAGUUUUU
rnacentral:lncRNA from 1 species